rnacentral:misc_RNA from 1 species
GAUGAAGAACGCAGCGAAAUGCGAUACGUAAUGUGAAUUGCAGAUUUCAGUGAAUCAUCGAAUCUUUGAACGCACAUUGCGCCCGCCAGUAUUCUGGCGGGCAUGCCUGUUCGAGCGUCAUUUCAACCAUCAAGCGCCUCGCUUGUGUUGGGGCCCUGCGGCUGCCGCAGGCCCCUAAAUCCAGUGGCGGGCUCGUCGUCGUACCGAGUGCAGUAAACAUCCUCGCUCAGGGAACCCGACGGGUGCCGGCCGUGAAACCCCCCCUCCUCAAGGUUGACCUCGGAUCAGGUAGGAAUACCCGCUGAACUUAAGCAUAUCAAUAGCGGAGGA